UACGGAGGGAGCUAGCGUUGUUCGGAAUUACUGGGCGUAAAGCGCACGUAGGCGGCUAUUCAAGUCGGGGGUGAAAGCCCGGGGCUCAACCCCGGAACUGCCCUCGAAACUAGAUAGCUAGAAUCUUGGAGAGGCGAGUGGAAUUCCGAGUGUAGAGGUGAAAUUCGUAGAUAUUCGGAAGAACACCAGUGGCGAAGGCGACUCGCUGGACCAUUACUGACGCUGAUGCACGAAAGCCAGGGGAGCAAACGGG
rnacentral:rRNA from 1 species